GAUACCACUGCUGGAUCAAGACAGCUGCCUUGAAAGCUGGGGGACAAGAACAGAACCAUCUGCUGAGCAGCACUGGCCACAGCUGAGCACUGGGAAUUGCAGAGCACAAAAAAGGAAGAUCUACAGCUGCUGUUCAGCAGGGAGCUGAGACACCCUGAAGUCGUGGGCAGGAAGGAACUCUUCUUCAAAUUUAUCAUCUGGCAUCUGACUGCUGUUCAUGGCCAUCUAAACUGGGUCAAGGCAAAGCUUGCAGGACUUUUAUCCAGGCAGGAGGAGAGGAUGCAGGUAAGUAGGUUAUGAGACUCAGCACAAGGAGAUAAGGGGCCCUCAGUUCCAGAAGGUGCUCUCAGAGCAGUUUGCAUAACCAGUACACACUCCCUGCGGCCAGCAUGGCAUUGAUCUGCAAGUGGUGCUCUCUGGCCACGCCUUCACACAGGUGACAUUUUAUCCACUGAAGAAGGGCACCUUUCAGCUUUACUUGAACGUAUCCACUGGUCUUGACUCUUCAAAUUGCUCAGUAUUUCUGGAGUACACCUAAGUGCCCAAACUCAAUAUACAGUCACAGCACAACCUGACAAAAACCCCACUGCUCUGCACUGUAAAACAAGCUGUUGACUUGUACUGCAGGCAACUUGAUCCAAAUGCACAAAAAAUGAAUACAACCCUUUUUAACCUCACUGCUACCCAACACAACCUCCUCUUAUCAACCAAGGAGAAAAGUGCAUUACCACAAUUCCUGAAACAGCCCCCAAUUUCUGAUCAAUAAAAUAACUAGUUUACAGCUGUGUAUGCUGCUGACUGCUGCAUCUGCCCCUGUUAGGCCCAGGA